rnacentral:rRNA from 1 species
CCGUGAGUAUAAUGUGGGAAUCUGCCUUUUGGUUUGGAAUAACACGGGGAAACUUGUGCUAAUACCGGAUAAGCCCUUACGGGGAAAGUUUUAACGCCAAAAGAUGAGCCCGCACUUGAUUAGCUAGUUGGUGAGGUAAUUGCUCACCAAGGCAACGAUCAAUAGCUGUUCUUAGAGGAAGACCAGCCACAUUGGGACUGAGACACGGCCCAAACUCCUACGGGAGGCAGCAGUGGGGAAUCUUGCACAAUGGAGGAAACUCUGAUGCAGCGAUGCCGCGUGAGUGAAGAAGGCCCUUGGGUUGUAAAGCUCUUUCAUCGGGGAAGAAAAUGACUGUACCCGAAUAAGAAGGUCCGGCUAACUUCGUGCCAGCAGCCGCGGUAAUACGAAGGGACCUAGCGUAGUUCGGAAUUACUGGGCUUAAAGAGUUCGUAGGUGGUUGAAAAAGUUGGUGGUGAAAUCCCAGAGCUUAACUCUGGAACUGCCAUCAAAACUUUUCAGCUAGAGUAUGAUAGAGGAAAGCAGAAUUUCUAGUGUAGAGGUGAAAUUCGUAGAUAUUAGAAAGAAUACCAAUUGCGAAGGCAGCUUUCUGGAUCAUUACUGACACUGAGGAACGAAAGCAUGGGUAGCGAAGAGGAUUAGAUACCCUCGUAGUCCAUGCCGUAAACGAUGUGUGUUAGACGUUGGAAAUUUAUUU